rnacentral:rRNA from 1 species
CCUACGGGAGGCAGCAGUGAGGGAUAUUGGUCAAUGGGGGAAACCCUGAACCAGCAACGCCGCGUGCGGGAAGACGGUUUUCGGAUUGUAAACCUCCGUCCUCUGUGAAGAUAAUGACGGUAGCAGAGGAGGAUGCUCCGGCGAACUACGUUCCAGCAGCCGCGGUAUACGUAGGGAGCAAGCGUUGUCCGGAUUUACUGGGUGUAAAGGGUGCGUAGGCGGCUUUGCAAGUCAGAAGUGAAUUCCAUGGGCUUAACCCAUGAACUGAUUUUGAAACUGCAGAGCUUGAGUGGAGUAGAGGGAGGCGGAAUUCCGGGUGUCGCGGUGAAAUGCGUAGAGAACGAGAGGAACACCAGUGGCGAAGGCGGACUUCUGGGCUCUAACUGACGCUGAGGCACGAAAGCGUGGGUAGCAAACAGGAUUAGAUACCCCGGUAGUC